GUUGAUACCAGGAGUACCAGGUAGCCCAACGGUAUUUCCAUUAGCAACUGUCAAAAGAUGAACCAAGAAAAAAAAGGAUUAUUUCAUAUUGUAAAUGCGUUGAUCUCAAUUUUUAAAGUUCAAAGGGAUUAAGAUGAUUUAAUUAUUAUCAAACCAUUGGAAUACGGAAACGGAAGACAACUUAGGCUGUGGCAAGGACAUUAAUUUCAAGGUGAUUUGGGUUUGAAAAGGAAUCAUGUUUCUCUCUGGUUUUACUUCUACCUUGAGAAGAAAUUACAAAGUAAAUGCUGUUGUUUUUGCUGUUGCUACUGAUGAUGAUUAUGGACUGGGUCAGCAAAGUGUGUAUUAUGCAUGGAUGUAAACGUGUUUACAAAUUCACAGGGAAUCAAGCUCAUUGGUCUCAACCAAACGUUGGCUUUUUCAGACAUUAAUUUCAAGGUUACUAGGAAGUGACAUGGAAACGAAAGGAAGAAAGUUGCCAGUUUUUGAGCAAAAAACGGAUUACCUUGCUUUCUCUAAAUAAUACUACAUUGUGAACUUAAAUACCCAUUGCUGUAUUAAGUGACGUAAACUUUUUUUUGAUAAAGCAAGGCCACCUUCAAGGAAUUCCGGUUUUCGUCUGAAGUUUGAGACUAGAAUCCAAGGUGGACUUGACUCUCACACAUCUUUAUAAACAUGAGUUGCACAACAAACUUCAGAGAUGAUGAUCAUGUUGAUGGAUCAUAUUAUUCAAUAAGACUAAAACAGAGUCCAAAAAGUUUGUAAUGAUCUCUGGUUCGAAGUAACUUCCAUGUUAAAGAAUUCAAUUCAUAUAAAUGCAUACAGUAACAUGAAGUGGUGGGAUUCAUUCAAGCUGGUUUUAUGUUCAAUAUUUAACGAUGUGGAAAACGAUUGUUGGUUUGAUUAGAUGAUCAUCAUCUUCUAUCAUCGAGAUAAAGCAACAUUUUAGAUUGACCCAAGUAAAACGAGUCGAAUCUAUCAUCCAUUGGACACAUGAUUGAAAACGAUAAGCAAUAUUUACAUCGUUAUACAUGACUUUCAAAGUUUAUGAAAAGAUGCCUUUUUAUUCAAAGAUUAAUGCUUUAAUCUUUGUUCUUAUUGGAUUCACACAAAUUCAAGUCAACUAUUCUUUCAUAUUAUUAGAUUGGCCAGAAAAUUUACAGAUAGCUUCAAUGCUUAAUUUUGAUUGAAUAAAAUGCAGACUAAAAUUACUGA